ensembl:lncRNA
UGGUACCUGGGCUAAAGGUUCUGGACUCUCACCAACCCCUCCAGAGGAACCCCCUUGACCUCCUAAUGAGUGCGACCUGCAAACCGUGUUCACCUGUCUACCUGUACACCUGUCUGACAGAGAGAAGGCCCCCACCCCCCACGCCCCACGCCCCACGCCCCACGCCCCACCCCUCGCAUCUGACAGACGCAUGGCUACAGCAGAACACAUCCACCAGUACCCUGCCCCUCAAACACCAGGAAUCUACUUUUGCUUGCAUACAUGCGCUAUAUAGAUCUAUAUAGCCCAUAUAUAUUACUGCAUAUGUAUGGUUUAUAUAUUAUAUUUAUAUAUAGAAGCAGGCCAACUCAACAGGAGGUGCGACAUCUCCAUGGGAGAGCAACAAUAUUUUUUUUUGAAAAGUGCACGUUUAUUAGCUAAGUGGUUUUUUUUUUUUUUUUUUUUUUUUUUCAUUUUGUCCUCCUCUAUGGCUUGGAGAGGGACAACAUGAUGUGACAUAAUCAAUAAUUUCCUCAGCUGGUGACUAGCUGAUUUGACACACAGGUCAGGUCACCUGGCAGGACUCGUCCCGCUUGUGCUGUUUGUUCUCUCGGUGUGUGUGUGUGUGUGUGUGUGUGUGUGCGCGCACGCAUGUUGUGUGUGUGUGUGUGUGUCUGUGUGUGUGUGUGUGUGUGUGUGUGUGUGUGUGUGUGUGUGCUUACUUGAGACCGGUACAGCUUGGAGCCCCUGUUUCUCUCUCUCUCUCUGUCUGUUUCCCAUCACACCCCAUCAUACUGAACUGUCUGUUUCUCUUGCUCUGCUGGGCUUGUGCACUGGUUAGAGUGCAGAGGUUUGGUGAAACGUUUCUCCGACCUCUCUAGGCCAGCCUGCCCCCACUCACUCACCCCUAAGGACUGACAGAGCGCUCAACACAGCCCUACUCUCACCAUAUUCCUGACCACUGGCCAUCGCUAAGCUGUGCAUGGAGGAGGGAGAGCAUCCUUUCUUCACAGCCUUUUCAUGGACAUAUCGCAGCAAUUACAAACAUCCCAGUAGACCAGAGACAAGGACUUCCCACUUUUCCCUGGGAUGUUGGGCAGGGGAUGAGAGGACAAUUUAGGUUGAUGUUUUUGAUAUCGGUCAAAUCAGGUGAAAUUACACAAGCUUGAGAGGCUACACAGUGUAUUUUGACAGGAGGGUUUUUGUUAAGAAGGAAAAAAAAAACAUCCUGUCAUGGAGGUAUGUUCAUAUUUCAUAUUUGUUUUUGUAUAAAAGUUAUUUCAGUUAUUUCAACAUAUAUCCUACUAAAGGUCUGUAUGAUCAGCAAAGCCGAGGGUGGAGAACCGGAUGAAGCUUCACCUGGAGCUGGAGGCGUGGUAUUAAGGCAAACAGUGGAUUACUGAAGUGAGGAAAGUGCAAUUUUUCAGAUAGCUGUUGGAGUUUUAAAUAUCUGCAGAAGAUUGUUUAAAAAGUAUAUAUAUAUAAAAAUAUAUAUAUACUUUUUCUAUUUUUUCCUUCCUAGUCCAUUUACACCUCCAGGACUCUAAAAUAUUGGGGUACAAAAAGAAAGAAGUGUAGAACAAAUUAGCCUUGUGGGAAAAGGGGAGUUGUACUUUUACAUUGUUGCUGUUUUAAUUGUUUGUUUGUUCAUUGUGUAAAUUUGUUAGUAGAACAGAGAAAAUCCCUUUAAGAGAUUUUGUCAUUUAAACAAUCAAUUUUUUAAAAGCAUUCGGAGCCGCUACAAAGUACGUACAUAGUACAAAGUACGUAGAUGGCCGUGUUAGCUCAUUAGAAAACAAAAACGCUUAGCAAUUAACUUAUUUUAACAAAGCACAUAAUUUUUACAAGAAAAGUUUUCUGUUGAAUUUCACAUCAGGCAAAAUCAAGGAUGUGGGCAAAUAUUGAGCAUCAUCAGGAAUUUUCCCCCUUUUUUAUUCAGUUAGACGUCUUAGAAGUCAUCAUAAACAAUCAUUAUCACCCGCUAAAAUAAAAGAAUUGCUUCUGUCAGUCAUGUUCAGGCUUAGGUUCAGGCCAGGGCUAAAUAACAGAUAGGUAGCCUAAAGACUUUCCCCAUAACCUUUAAAAAAAAAGUAGAUGUAACAAAACAUGAAUACCACAUCAGACUAGGAUGCAACCAGAUAAGCGAAGCUAUUCCAUUGCUUCAUAUGCAGUGAACUUUUUUUCUCCUUGUUUGAUUUCUUGAUUUUGUUUUAUUUUUUCCUAUACUACACAUAUAUACAUGCAUAUGACCGACACAUUCAUUGUCAAUCUCAAUUUAGUAAAACAAAAAACAAAAAACAUGAAAAAAAUCUGCAUGUUCUAGUGUUAGUGGCAAAUUUUUACAUACGUAACGUAGUGUUAGUGUGAGCGAAGACACAAUAUUGUAAUCCUGACAUAAGGCACUUGCCCAACAGACUAUUCAUUUGCCCCCUGCUGUCCGUCACCACCAGUCAGAUUGAGGUAUGUCUCUGACUCGUUUGGGUUCUCAUCCUUUCUGGAAUUUUUCCUUCCUCAUUUGUUCAAAUUUUGUUUGUUUAAAAGAUGUAUUUCAUUUUCUGUUCUCAAAUUGCACGAAUUCUCUUGUUCCUCAUAAAUGUGCCUUGAGCAAUGGUCUGGUCUUGAGUUGUUGCACAAGUUCCUGUGUGGAGAAUUUCAUAUUUUCCUUUCGAUUCCUUUCCACCCUUCCAAGCAUGGCUAUGUCUAAUGAUGGUGGUGAAGGUGAUGCUGCUGCCAGUUUGAAAGCUCAGUACCUCUCAUCCUGUCGCAGGCCUCCCAGUCUUAGAACAUGCAGGUCUUCCUCAACUGCAGACAGGCGACUGACCUUGACAAGCUUCGGUCAGAUUCCCAUCACUGGAGCAGACUAUGAUCUUGAAACAUACUGGCACAAAGCCUACUGCCCGUUUGGCUGAAAAGCAGUGUCCCUGUGCUUCUUCUGUGCUCAUCGCACCACCUAACAUAUGCCUGUGUGGCCCUGCACCUGGACGAGUUGAUCACAGUAGACCCCGCCCCUUUCUUUAGGAGAAGUCAUUAUAAUAUUCCCCUCAGCAUCCCCUUUUUGUCUGUAAACACUAGUGUGCCAGUGUUAUUAGUGAAUAUUGGUGCAAUUUCUACAUAGAAAACUACGUUUGCGUUAGAAUUUGUGUUUGGAUUGUCUAUUUUUUGUGACUUUUGCUUUGUUUUUGUUUGUUUUUUUGUUCCCAGAAAUGAAUUAUGAGAAAAACAAAAAAAUAUGCAAUACUUGCUUGCACUCUUCACUAGUCAUUUAUUAUGUUGCAUUCUGGCUUUGUCAUUAUUAUUAUUAUUAUUAUUAUUAUUAUUAUUAUUAUUACCUUUUUAACCAAAGUUAGUGUUGCACUUGACUGGCUGCCGAGGCAGCUGUCAGCUUGUCUGAUACACCAUCCCACCCUCAGUCCCAUCAUGGCAGAGCCUGACGUGGCCGUGUCCAUUCAGCCUUUAUGGAUAUCCACUUUCCUUUAUACCUAAUGGUAAAGCUGACCAUCAAUGAUUUUUUUUUUCAAUUACCUUUUAGUCACAUGUGAGCCUUAAACAAGGAGACUUCCUCUUCAUCACAAAAAUAACACACUUUCAAAGCAAACUAAUAACGUCCAGGAGGAAGUGAUCGCCCACAUUUAUGUACAUUUUUAACAAACUUCCAGGCUAUAUUAAUUGUUUACCUGUUUCCUGUCUACAACGUAUAUCAUUUACAAAAAAAUCAUUUUGAAUAUGGGGAAGUUUUCCCCAGAUGUCUGAUGUGAUGGUUUAACAGUUACACAUGCGUGGGUUGUGCUUUUUUUCUAGUGUGACAGUUUUGUUUUGUUAUUCUUGCCUACCCUUUAGACAUGAGUUGGGCAUUACUUUCUUAAUUAUCUGCACUAAAUAAAAACUAAAUGACAAUUGUGAAAAAUAAACGGCCUUAAUGGCCUAAAAGUGCGAAGGGAAAAAUAAUUGCACGGACAUUUUUGUGUCGCAAAAGCAGCCUAUCAUCUAAUCAGUAAGAUUUGGCUGUGUGUGUGUGUAAGAUAUGACAAAAUUGCACCCUUUUUAAAGAAAGACAAAAGAAAAGGAAUAUAAAAGCAAUAGUUUGGGCAGUCCAUUUUUGUUCUUGUGUUUGUGUGUGUUAUUUUAGUUUGGGAAAUAGGAAUAGCGGAGAGCAUGGAAAGAGACGACAGACAAACAAAGAAGUGUGUACCUGAGUCGAGAAGAACAGGGAGGCCAACAGGGCAAGGCACCUGACCUGACCGUGGGAGAUGUGUUGUUUGUGUGUUGUAUAGUUUUAUUAAUUACACUGAUUUUAAAAGCUGCCCUAUUUUAUAAUGCAAGAUUUUUGUAACAUUGAUUAAAUGAGGAAAAAAAUAGUGUUGUGAAUUUUCUGAUUGUUUGUAUUAAGGCCACAUUAAUAGAAUUGUUUUUUUUGUUUUCUUUGUUUGUUCUUGGGGAACUGGAUUUAAGUUGAAAACUUUCCUGUUCUUCUUUUUUUGUUUUGCUUUCCUUUUUUGUAUGUAUUUAAAGAAUUUUCUCUUUUUUCAGUGGUAUGGAAUAUCCCUGUACUUGAAAAGUAUAGGGACAUGAGGUGAAAACCCUAUUGUAAAUGGAUGUGACAAGUAUGCUGUAUGUUUUGAAGGUUAUUUGUUGCAUCAGUGUUGAUAAAGCUAAAUCCGCAGCAGGUAACUCUGAGGAUGUUGCUAAGGAAAAAGAGUGUUUUUUGCAUUUAAAAAUGAGUUUAGGCAGAAGACAAUAACAUAGACAGCCAAAGGAUGCCCCUAUUAUAAGUGCAUCUAGGCCUCUUUCUUUGUGUUCACCAUUCCAUGCAGGAAAAAAAUAAACAGCUUGAUAUGCAACAUGAUUAUUUUUUUCUUUUUCACAUUCUUUCGCCUUCUCCCCACCUCCACUAACCACUCUCUGUGAGCUGAAGGGCCAAUCAAAGCAUCCUCUCUCUCCAUCUUUCAAUACUCACACCGCUGAGCUCCCUGAUGCUUGUUUAAAACACACAUAGACUGAGUCGGUACACAAUCACCCAGAUUACAGCCCAGCUGAGUUUUCAUCUUUGGUUGGAAGGUUUGUCAGCCUUGUCAGUCAGGUAAAGAUUAUUACCGUCAAAUUGGCCUUGUCCAGAUAUCUUUUACUGAAAACAUUUGAACUGAAGCAGUAUGCCAGGAUUUAAGUAUAUUAAAUAGCAUUAGGAUACAUCUGGAUCUUAAAUCUAUACAUUUCCUUGCAAAUUGUGCAAAAAAGUACAGUGAGAGUUCAAUCUACUCUCGUUCAGUUACCCUGAUACAGUAAAUCACAAGUUUUUGCAGAAUCAACAAACAAACGCACAUCUAGGUACAUCUUGGCACAGGCACAGCAUUUCUCGUAAAACUUGCACCGCUGUUUUGUAUCUAUUUGUUAUAUUUGUUUUCUUCAAAUAUAUUUUGCCAAAUAGUACUCAUUCUUACAUCGAUUGAUUUAGAUGUGUUUGGGUGCCAUCAACAUCACCACCAUGACCAGAUUAGAGUAGUCUAAUCAAUUCCUUCACACUGAUUAUCUCACAAAGGACGACUGUCUAUAGUCCUUGUGAAAUGCUCUCAUGUGACCUCAUUUGUGUAAGACUGCCCAUUUUCAGAAGGAGUAGGGUAUCCAGAGCAGACAGAAAACAAAAGUCAGCCAUUGCCUCUCUCAAGUUUCUCUCUCUAUUCUAGAACUUCAGCUUGUGAUAUCCUCCCCUGAAAAUGUGUAUUAACCGCUGAUUGGUUGAUUCUUGUCCAAAGGUAAUAUGGGAUUCUUGAGGCCUGCCGGUGUGAGGCAGAUGCCUUUGUUGCCAAUGUGUCCCAGUUUCUUGUAGACUUGUGUGCUGUGUACCUGUUUUGAGUGACCUACUCACUUUUGAACACUGAAGGAAAGCUGAUGAUGAGAAGGGAUGAGAAGUAAGAAUCAAGGCAGAAUUAUUCUUUUGAACUGUUAACAGGGUAGUUCAUCUCAACAAUAAUCACAACAUAAAUAGAAAAAUCAAAAGUAAGUGAAAUGAAUACAGAGACAACUAAAUGUUAAAACGAUAACAAUAUUGAGGUGAAAGUUAUGGAAGCCUGAUACCACUGGUUAUCACGCUGAGAGUUGAGCACUGUUUUUGGAUGAACCUGGUUGGAUGAAGUCCUUCUGCUUCUUGACAAUCCAUAAAGAGCUGUUGUCAUUAUUCUGAUUUCUCUCCAUACUCCUUUCCUAGCUGUUUUGCUCAAACAUAGUCAGUUGACUGUGCAGCUCAGACUAAACUGUCUAAGCCAGGGGUUUUCAACCUGUGAGGUGGGGCCACCCUGACGUGAUGUCAACUCUUGUCAAGGGAGUUCAGCUUAACAGGAUCUCCAGAUGCAAACUGCAGUGAACUUGUUAAUUAACCACAAUAGUCAAGUCGGGUCACAUGGAUCAUGGAUUUUCUCUGUGGAUUUUUGGUCGGGCAGCUUCGGGGGGGGGGGGGGGGGGGCACACGUUUCAAUUAGACAAAAAGAGGAAAAGGUCCUGUACGGUUGAAAACCCUUGCUUGCAGUCACGUGCGAUAAUAGAGUUCAAUCUUUUACCCUAAGAAGGAGAAUAACAGAAAGUGGGCAUUGAACUUGCGUCCAGAUAUGAUGGCGCAACUGAAGCUUUUGCAAAGUUUAUUUCUUGCUUAAAAGCUUUACAUGGUGCUAACUAUGGCUUCUAUAAUGGAGACUAAUGGAAAUGGGACAAUUUGGACUUCCAGUACUCUGCUUCUCUGUCAGCAUAUUAAACUGCAGAUCGAUCUGCAUGGAAACUAUGCACUGAUGAAUAAAAUGCUGAGAUCCGUUCUGAGAUGCUAAGGUUUGGUAUCUACUUUUGACUUCAGCCUUUUGCCUUCUUUUACGUUUUUCUUUUCUUUUUUUUUUUUGAAGACAAGUUAUACUAAAAAUCAAAGGAAAUGAACAAACCAGCAUAUUACCUGAUAUAUUUAAAAUAUGUAGUGCCUGUUAACACCGUAUUAUAUUGCUCUCUGAAUAAUGAAAAAAUUGUUUGUAAUUGUUUCAAAUUCUCAACACCAGUAGCCUUCGCUGUCUGUCAGAUCCCUCUGAUUAUAGCUAUUGUACAAUAAUCAUGAAAAAUGUAUUUGCAUGCUCCAUAAUCGCCUAGUAAGUUGUUGUAUAUGACUAAAGAAAAUCCAUGAAAACAACAGGAUCUUAUUUGAGUCUUCUACCCUUUUGAAUACUCUUGUGAACCCCACCUUCACCUCACUCCCUGGCUCCAAGGCUAUGUUCAGACUGUCACAUUUCAUUCUCAGAUUUGAUCUGCAGGAUUGCCUUUCUGUAGCCUACUCUUGAGCUAGAGAUCAGAUCAGAUGUGUGUGUGUCCAGGCAGUGUGUGUCAUUUCCUCACACAAAUAUAGGUUGCUAUAAUAUCAAUGCAAAGGAAGGUGUUUGAGAAAAAACAAAACUUUUGACUUUUAUUAACACGGUACUAAACUCAUGGAAAACUAUGUAGCACUGAUCCGCAGUGAAGGGAAACACGUGUCAAGUUCUGCCAUGCUCUAUGAUGAGCUGUUUGUCACUGAAUGGACACGAUUACACUGGAGUAGCAGUGGCAGAUGGGGUGAUGUCAUCUGUAGUAGAUCUACAGAUAUACCCCUGGAAAUCCAGUGAAACACAAACACAUCCCCAAAAUAUUCAGUCUUAAUUUGGGUUUCAAACCACCUUGAUUAGAAAAAUUCAAUUCAGUAUGUUUUUUACUUUACUUUUCAUUUAAUGACUUGACUUUGAAUUUCAAUAGGAUAGGCAAAUAAAUUUGGACACUGUGAACAUAGCCAAAGUGUUUCUUUUCAAUCCACGAGUCACGUAGACACCAUUGCCAUACGAUGGAGACAGUAAUACUGGUCUGCCCGUCUCCAUUUGAACCCCAUCAGUCCCAUCAUGUUGUGUUCACUCAUGUCUAUCUCCCCCUUCUGGGCAUCGCUCUUCUGGUCCAGGUGUUCAGUCUUGGUGAAGUCCUCACACGUGUUAGACAAUCUUUAGCUGGAGUGCAAGGUUCAGCUUUGUGUGUGUCCUACAGAGGAGAAGGCCUUAUGGUCUGAGACCCUCUGAAGUUGCAUGACUCGUGUGUGCUAGAGUUACCCCUAUUUCACAUGGCCUGACCAUCUCACACAUGUGUCAUUUUGGCCAGGGAGGACUUCUGCAAGAGAAUCAAUGUGAUGCACACAAGUUGAUAUACACAAUCAGUACUGUCAAGGGCAGAACAUGUCUUUAGUGGCUGUGUGCGAGGGGCUACACAUCACAUUGUUGCCAUGUUGAUUGGGAAGAGAAGAGUCCAAACUAACAGAGCAUCAGUCCAACAGACCCGCUGUCAUAUAGGUCUCAUUAAUACUCUGACUUAGCUUCCAAGGUCAAAGAGCCAUUCUACUUUUGUACACGUAUGAUUAUUGAUCCUCAGAUAUAACCACAUGCAGAUUCUUGUUCUUAGAACUAAGUCACUUUGCCGAGAGUGAUUUACUGCCAGGACACAACAUAUGAUAUCCUUUAACUGUUUCUUCAUUUAUUUUAUAAUGAAAAUAUAUGCAUAAAUGCCAGUAUGAAUCCAAACAGAUUCAGAGCCAUACCUGCAGGAGCAGAUUCUCCUGAUUAGAGGACUUCAGCCUGUAGCUUUAGAUAUUCUGAUUAGAGGGCUUCAGCCUGUAGCUUUUAGAUAUUCUGAUUAGAGGACUUCAGCCUGUAGUUUUAAAUAUUCUGCGAUCACAACUCAGUGUUAUUGAUGAGGACAAUCCCAGCGGCCAGAGUGCAUGAGUGUUGGAUAGAUGUAGGCUGAACCUCUGGAUUAGUGACACCUCCAUGACCACAACCCUCAUUGGUCCAUCUGCUACGUGAC